GCCAGCCGCCGCGGUAACACCGGCAGCUCUAGUGGUAGCUGUUUAUUGGGCCUAAAGCGUUCGUAGCCGGUUGAUAAGUCACUGGUGAAAUCCUGUAGCUUAACUGUGGGAAUUGCUGGUGAUACUGUUGAACUUGAGGUCGGGAGAGGUUAGCGGUACUCCCAGGGUAGAGGUGAAAUUCUGUAAUCCUGGGAGGACCACCUGUGGCGAAGGCGGCUAACUGGAACGAACCUGACGGUGAGGGACGAAAGCUAGGGGCGCGAACCGGAUUAGAUACCCCGGGUAGUCCUAGCCGUAAACGAUGCGGACUUGGCGUUGGGAUGGCUUUGAGCCGCUCCGGUGCCGAAGGGAAGCUGUUAAGUCCGCCGCCUGGGAAGUACGGUCGCAAGACUGAAACUUAAGGAAUUGGCGGGGGAGCACCACAACGCGUGGAGCCUGCCGGUUUAAUUGGAUUCAACGCCGGACAUCUCACCAGGAGCGACAGCUGUAUGAUUACCAGGCUGAUGACCUUGUUUGACUAGCUGAGUGGAGGUGCAUGG
rnacentral:rRNA from 1 species